CUAAUUAACAAACAUAUUCAUGCUUUUUCCUCAAGGGGUUAUUAUAUUCCAUGAUGUGUUUGACAAUGAAUAUAAUGUUGGUGGUGCCCAGAUAAGAGUGGAAGGUGUAUAUAUAUGGCCUUUUAGACAGCUUCGGAUGGUAGCCAACAGUGGAAAAGAGGGAGAAUUGAAUCAGGAUGGAGAUUAUAUUUUAUCCAAUCCAUACCAUCUGCUUGGAGUUUUCUCAUCUCAGGUACUGCAAGAUUCUUCCCGAGAUAAGAUGUGGAGAAAGAAACAUUCUCCAAUGCAUGACAUGGAGAAACAUUGUAAUAUUAAAAUUGCUUUAGCUCUGAUAACAAAAUUGGUCAGGGUAGAUUCGGAGCUGUCUAUUUUGCAAAAUUGAGAGGCCAAAAAGCAACAAUCAAGAAGAUGGAUGUUCAAGCAUCAACAGAGUUUCUUUUAGAGUUAAAGGUCUUAAAACAUGUUCAUCACUUGAAUCUGGCAACUACUUUCUUCUACACCAAAACGUCGAGUUUCUAUGGCAUUCAGUGAAUCUCAACUUCACUCUGAACAAUUUAGGUGCAUUUGAUUGGAUAUUGCGUCAAGGGAUCUCUUUCCUUGUGUAUGAAUACAUUGAAAAUGGAAACUUAGGCCAAUAUUUGCAUGGUACAGGGAGAGAACCUUUGGCAUGGUCAACAAGGGUGCAAAUUGCUCUGGAUUCAGCAAGAGGACUUGAAUAUAUACGUGAACACAUUGUUCCUGUUUAUAUCCACCAUGAUGUGAAACCUGCUAACAUAUUAAUAUAUAAAGACUUCCGUGAAAAGGUUAGUUUAUUGUAAUAUUCUUGGCAAUAAUCAUUAUUUUGCAAUUUUUGUUUUCUUUUUUCUGAUGAGACUAAUAUUAAAACUGUCUAAUAAGAUUUUGAAAAUUCACCAGGUUGCAAAUUUUGGGCUAACUAAACUUAGGAAAGUUGGAAGCUCUUUAUCACUUCAUACUUGUCUUGUGGGAACAUUUGGAUACAUGCCUCUAGUAUACUUCUGGCAAUCAAAUCAAAAUAAAACAAGCUACAAGAAGUCAUGGUUGGAUUAGUAGCAAAUGUUUUCACAUUCAUGUCCUCUCAGGAAUCAAACUAUGUAUUUCAAGAAGCUGGAAUCACUGAAGUUGAACUGGCAAGUAUAUUAGUACAUAUUCUCAAGAAGCACAAGUAUCUGGCAACAAAGGUGCUGGAGGAUAAGGAGGUUUGCCAUAGAGUUUGUGAUUUGGAUGAUGAAAGAUAAAACAGAAAAUAUAGAUACCUUCAAGCAUAUGGGAAUGGAGAAGGUGCUGGAAGGUGUAUUAGAAACCACAUCAGAGCUUGAAAGCUUCAAUUUUUUCUCUGGUACUGUUGGAUUGAAUAGGCACAAUCUAACAAUUCACUCACUGGUUGAGAUAGCCUUUAAAUUGCUGGAAAACAGGUGAAGUAAUACAUCACUUUUGAACCAUAUUGUAAAAUUAGUAAUCCAUGUUAACCUUGAGCGAAAAUUGUAAAUUUGUAACACUGUACACUAUUGUUUGUUUUGUGUAAAUAUGUAUUAUCCCAUAUUAAUUUUGAUUUUGGUUUUUAGUUUUGAUGGUUAUUUAUUUAUUUUUCCUUCUAGAUUUUGAUUCUUCAAUCGAAGAAUCAAUGCUUUAUUGAUUUGUAUCAGUAAGGACAAAUUAUUAAUGAAAAUCCAGGAGGAACACUUUUCAGUGCUA